UGGGGAAUAUUGCACAAUGGGCGCAAGCCUGAUGCAGCCAUGCCGCGUGUAUGAAGAAGGCCUUCGGGUUGUAAAGUACUUUCAGCGGGGAGGAAGGGAGUAAAGUUAAUACCUUUGCUCAUUGACGUUACCCGCAGAAGAAGCACCGGCUAACUCCGUGCCAGCAGCCGCGGUAAUACGGAGGGUGCAAGCGUUAAUCGGAAUUACUGGGCGUAAAGCGCACGCAGGCGGUUUGUUAAGUCAGAUGUGAAAUCCCCGGGCUCAACCUGGGAACUGCAUCUGAUACUGGCAAGCUUGCGUCUCGUAGAGGUGGGUAGCAUUCCAGGUGUAGCGCUGAAAUGCGUCGAGAUCUGUAGGAAUACCGGUGUCGAAGGCGGCCCCCUGGACGAAGACUGCCGCUCCGGUGCGAAAGCGUGGGGAGCAAACAGG
rnacentral:rRNA from 1 species